rnacentral:rRNA from 1 species
ACAGAGGUCCCAAGCGUUGUUCGGAUUCACUGGGCGUAAAGGGUGCGUAGGUGGUGAGGUAAGUCGGAUGUGAAAUCUCGGAGCUUAACUCCGAAAUGGCAUUGGAAACUGCCUUGCUAGAGGUUCGGAGGGGGGACUGGAAUACUUGGUGUAGCAGUGUAAUGCGUAGAUAUCAAGUGGAACACCAGUGGCUAAGGGGAGUCCCUGGACGAAACCUUACACUGAUGCACGAAAUCUAGGUGAGCAAACAG